rnacentral:rRNA from 1 species
UACGUAGGGUGCAAGCGUUGUCCGGAUUUAUUGGGCGUAAAGAGCUCGUAGGCGGCUUGUCGCGUCGAAUGUGAAAACUCGGGGCUCAACCCCGCGCUUGCAUUCGAUACGGGCAGGCUCGAGUUCGGUAGGGGAGACUGGAAUUCCUGGUGUAGCGGUGGAAUGCGCAGAUAUCAGGAGGAACACCAAUAGCGAAGGCAGCUCGCUGGGACGUUACUGACACUAAGGCGCGAAAGCGUGGGGAGCGAACAGG